AUUGAACGCUGGCGGCAUGCCUUACACAUGCAAGUCGAACGGUAACAGGUUAAGCUGACGAGUGGCGAACGGGUGAGUAAUGUAUCGGAACGUGCCCAGUCGUGGGGGAUAACUGCUCGAAAGAGCAGCUAAUACCGCAUACGACCUGAGGGUGAAAGCGGGGGAUCGCAAGACCUCGCGCGAUUGGAGCGGCCGAUAUCAGAUUAGGUAGUUGGUGAGGUAAAGGCUCACCAAGCCGACGAUCUGUAGCUGGUCUGAGAGGACGACCAGCCACACUGGGACUGAGACACGGCCCAGACUCCUACGGGAGGCAGCAGCGGGGAAUUUUGGACAAUGGGCGCAAGCCUGAUCCAGCCAUGCCGCGUGCGGGAAGAAGGCCUUCGGGUUGUAAACCGCUUUUGUCAGGGAAGAAAAGGUUCUGGCUAAUACCUGGGACUCAUGACGGUACCUGAAGAAUAAGCACCGGCUAACUACGUG
rnacentral:rRNA from 1 species